GACGAACGCUGGCGGCGUGCCUAACACAUGCAAGUCGAACGGAGUUGCCUUCGGGACGAACUUAGUGGCGAACGGGUGAGUAACGCGUGAGGAACCUGCCUUUCAGUGGGGGACAACAGUUGGAAACGACUGCUAAUACCGCAUAAUGUCAUCGAGCGGCAUCGCUUGAUGACCAAAGAUUUAUUGCUGAAAGAUGGCCUCGCGUCUGAUUAGCUAGUUGGUGGGGUAACGGCCCACCAAGGCGACGAUCAGUAGCCGGUCUGAGAGGAUGAACGGCCACAUUGGGACUGAGAUACGGCCCAG
rnacentral:rRNA from 1 species